CCUUGUCCUUAGUUGCCAGCACGUAAUGGUGGGAACUCUAAGGAGACUGCCGGUGACAAACCGGAGGAAGGUGGGGAUGACGUCAAGUCAUCAUGGCCCUUACGGCCAGGGCUACACACGUACUACAAUGGUCGGUACAGAGGGUUGCAAUACCGCGAGGUGGAGCCAAUCCCAGAAAGCCGAUCUCAGUCCGGAUCGGAGUCUGCAACUCGACUCCGUGAAGUCGGAAUCGCUAGUAAUCGCGAAUCAGCAUUGUCGCGGUGAAUACGUUCCCGGGCCUUGUACACACCGCCCGUCACACCAUGGGAGUGGGUUGCUCCAGAAGCAGGUAGUCUAACCGCAAGGGGGACGCUUGCCACGGAGUGGUUCAUGACUGGGGUGAAGUCGUAACAAGGUACCGUAUCGGAAGGUGCGGCUGGAUCA
rnacentral:rRNA from 1 species